UAUGAAUCCAAUCACAGCAUAUGGUAGCUGACAGUGUUUUUUGAACUCCUCUACUAUAAGUACACACAUAUAUACUUUUUCAAAUUUUACAAAAUAAUAUCACGUUUUGACUUAUGUAGUAUGCUAAGCAUUUUACAUGGAUUCAUUCAUUUUCAUCUCAUAACCCCAUAAGGAAGGUACAUUAUUGUCCACAUUUUAUGUGUAAGGCAACUGAGACUUUGCUAGGUUACAUAUUUAAAAGUGGCAUUCAAACUCCAAUCUGGGCUAGGUGUGGUGGCUCACACCUGUAAUCCCAGCACUUUGGGAGGCUGAGGUGAGAAAUCACUGGUGCCUAGGAGUUCAAGACCAGCCCUGGCAAGACAGACCUCUUCUGUACAAAAAAGCAGCAGCAGCCAGGCGCAGUGGCUCACACCUGUAAUCCCAGCACGUUGGGAGGCUAAGAUGGGUGAAUCAUCUGAGGUCAGGCUGGUCUGGAACUCCUGACCUCAGGUGAUCCACCUGCCUCAGCUUCCCAAAGUGCUGGAAUUACGCGGUGAGCCACCGCGCCCAGCCGAGAUUUCCCUUUUUGUAGCAAUAUGUAAUAAGGACUUUGGAGCAUAAGAGCUAGAAGCUUUAAAAUAUCAAUUGUG
rnacentral:lncRNA from 1 species